rnacentral:rRNA from 1 species
GACGAACGCUGGCGGCGUGCUUAACACAUGCAAGUCGAACGGAAAGGCCCUGCUUGCAGGGUACUCGAGUGGCGAACGGGUGAGUAACACGUGGGUGAUCUGCCCUGCACUUCGGGAUAAGCCUUGGAAACUGGGUCUAUUACCGGAUAGGAGCCAUUUUUAGUGUGAUGGUUGGAAAGUUUUUUCGGUGUAGGAUGAGCUCGCGGCCUAUCAGCUUGUUGGUGGGGUAAUGGCCUACCAAGGCGGCGACGGGUAGCCGGCCUGAGAGGGUGGACGGCCACAAUGGGACUGGGAUACAGCCCAGACUCCUACGGGAGGCAGCAGUGGGGAAUAUUGCACAAUGGGCGCAAGCCUGAUGCAGCGACGCCGCGUGGGGGAUGGCGGCCUUCGGGUUGUAAACUCGUUUCGCUAGGGACGAAGCUUUUUGUGACGGUACCUAGAUAAGAAGCACCGGCUAACUACGUG